UUCUCCCCAACAUAGUUGCCUGGCGGAUCAUAGUUACACCCGAUGAAGGUACCUCCACUGUUGCACCUCACUUUUGCACACCCUACACGAGCUGUGUUACGCCAAACAACCUGCGUAUAAUGCCCACACAUCUUGCCAUCGGCACAAGUGUUAGAGUCGUAGUUAUAGUCGGCCUUCUCCGCCACCCACAUGUUCACGGCAUCCGUGCCCGACAAGUCAGCGGUGCUCAUGGCAAGGUUUUCGCCGUAGGGCCCACCAGAGUGGACAAGAUUGCAGUCGCCAAUGUGUUGAUUGGCAUAGUCUUGCGCAUAGCCUUGUAGCUUCUCAUCCCAUGACAAUGGCCCGACAUUUACCGCCGCUCGAGCGUUGUUAUGGGCAGUGACGUAGUCUUGCGGUGUGUCUUGGGCAUGAGUGGAUUGGAGAAGGGCAGAGCCUAAAACACAAACGAGGGCUAGUAAAAUCUUGGACAGGCCCAUGUUGGGUUUUGAGAGUUUGAUAAUGUAUGAAGGAGUUUUUUGUUGCGAGAACGAUACAUAUAGUGUGGGGUAUUUAUAAUGGAAAAUGUGGAAAUUUAUGUGCGUUACUAUUCAAGAGCGUUCCUAAUACGUUACUGACGCUAUCAAUAAUGGAGUGUGCUUGUGCAAUAUGAUAUCAAAAUACUUGAGAGCUUGUGAAAUAUAUUAUCGAUGCAUCUAGAAAACAUAUGAGUUGCUUUGCCAUCAGAAAAUAAAAAAUAAAAAAACGUAUGAGUUGAUCAGUUAGCUAGGUCUAGCUAAGGCUAACCGUCAAUUUCGGGGAAUAAAUUGAUGGCAAACUUCGGAAGACAAGAAAAGAAAAGUAAAUUUUGGAAAAUAGGGGAAAUGAAUAUGAAGUAUAUACCAUACCAUGAUUGCUUUGGAAAAUCCUUUAUGGACUUUACCAUACCAUGUGUAGUGCGUGUAGUUGUACGGGUCUUGAAAAAAAAAGAGAUAUUUAGUCAUCAGUCCUCUUCUAUUGAGGGAUCCCUCAAAUAAUUUUAUUUGAGGGACGCCCCUUAGGGUACCCUACAAUUUUUUUCCCAAUGAUCCAAACCAUCUAUUUUUUAGGUCUUUAUUCAUAGAUCAUCCUUACAAAAAAUUAGACAAAUUGGAAACCAUUUCAACAUCCAAUUGUGUCUUACAAAAUCAAUGAAUACGAUGCUUCAAGAAAAUGCUAAAAUUUCAAUAGCUUAAUUGAGUGGUCAAAUAAUAUCGGAUUCAAGUGAUUUUUUGUUGAUAUGAUCUUUGAAUGAGUAUAUACAAAAUAGACGGUUUGGAUUAGUGAAAUACAAUCCGGAGUGGGGCCUACAAGGGGUGUCCCUCAAAUAAGCUUAUUUGAGGGAUUCCUCAAUAGAAGCUCUCUGAUUUAGUCAUAUAUCCAUUCUUAGCACUAAAAUUAUAAAUAAAUUCUACAUCAUUUAAUUUCUAUAAACAAACCCAACAAAAACCCAAAAAAUGACAGCUGACUCUAUUGAAUUUAAUUUUGAUUAUUAAAUUACUUUGAUGCCCUAUUGAGUGUUUUGGGCUUUUUUUUUAUGAGGUUUUGGGGUUGGGUUCGUUUUAAGAAAUCAAUGACAGUUUUGUAAUUCAAAAGAAGUUAAAAGCAUUUUUGUUAUGUUGUAAAUGGGCUUUGGGUGUGUUUCUAAACUCCAUUUCAUAUAUGAUUUUUUUUAAAUGUAAAUAAUUUGGGCUCCUAUAUUAGGUAUAAUAGUGAAUCUCCCAAAAAGAAAAGUGAAGUCAAUAUAACUGUUGAUGCCCAAAAAAUCUAGGGAGAUUCACUAUUAUACCUAAGGGCUUUCAUGACUCUACUCUCUAGGAUAAUGAGGUAUUGUUAUCUUCUCAAUACAAAGGCAAAUGAAUGAAAAUUGGAGAAAAGAGACUCGAGCAAAUUAUGUUGUGAUAUUGGAGCAUGAGAUUGAUAGGUACAUCACCGACCCUAUUGAAGAUGUGGUUGACUUAUUCGAUGUUUUAAAGUAGUGGAAAUUGAAUGAGGUUAAGUAUCCGGGUUUGGCACUUAUUGCAAAGGAUGUGCUUGACAUCCCAGUAUCAACGGUGGCUUCAGAAUCAUGUUUUAGCACAGGUGGUUGGAUAGUUAAUUCAUUUCGUGCUUCUUUGACUCCUAAAAUUUUGGAGGCCUUAAUUUGCUCUCAAAAUUGGUUAAGGUCAGGUGACAUAUCCUCUUUAUAAUAUGAGCCAACAAUUCAAGAGAUGAAGUUUUAUGAAUCCAUUGAAUUAGGUAUUUCUUUGUAAUUUUAUAUGCUUUAUUAAUGUAAUUUACAAUUUGUAGGUUUCACUAAUGUUUUAAUGGGUUUUUUUUUAAUUUUAUAUAGAUUUAUGAGUUCAUCCACACCUCCCAAGUCUGCCCCAGCUACUUUUCAAUGUUAGGAGGAAUUUAAUGAAGUUGCAACACUUAGGACUACAUGCUUUUGUGGAGUUUUUGCAUGCUUGUAUUUUGUUUAUAUUUUGCUGCAGUGGGAUUGUAAUUUAUUUUGAAUUUGGAUUGUAAUUUAUAUUUUGCUGAAGUUGAAUAUAAUUUAUUUGCUAAAGUUGGAUUGAUUUUGAUGUGAUAAAAGCUUGGUGGAAGUUUAAAUUUGGGCUUGGCCUAUUUGAUAAUGAACAAAUUGGUAGGUUUGUAAUAUAAUUAAAUUUUGGGCAGGUCUGUAAUAUAAUACAAUUUUGGGCAGAUCUGUAAUAUAAAUAAAAUUAUAUAUUACAAUUUUGGGCUCAUGCCAAAAAUCGAUAAUCGCAAGAACCAAACUGGAAUUGGGCAGGUCUGGGUUGGUUCGGUCUUGCCUAUAAAUCUUUGUCAAAAUCGAACAAAACCGAAUUGAUCUUCAUUUUCAGUUCAAGUUCUAAUUUUAUAAGAAAUCGGCCUGAACCGAACUAUGUCCACCCCUAAUAUCCAUUAAAUUUAGCAUCCACCAUGCCGGUGAAUAAGAUCAAUCAAUUGAUGAUCUAACAUCACUUCUUAAUUCAUUUUGUUCUUGAUAACAUAGAUUCAUAGAUAUAGUUGGUUUGUUUUUUUAGACGAAUAAAUAUAGUUGGUUUAGUAAGACUUCUACUCAACAUUGUUGCCAAUGGUGAAUAUUAUUGGAACAUCCAUGCACCUGGCACAUGGUAGAAUUUUCGCAUAGGAGUUGUAAGGCUUGUAAGGCUUCUGCCCAACAUAGUUGCCUGGUGGAUCAAAGUUGCACCCGAUGAAGGUACCUCCACUGUUGCACCUCACUUUUGCACACCCUACACGAGUUGUGUUACGCCAAAUAACCUGCGUAUAAUGCCCACACACCUUGCCAUCGGCACAAGUGUUAGAGUCGUAGUUAUAGAAGGCCUUCUCUGCCACCCACAUGUUCACGGCAUCCGUGCCCGACAAAUCAGCGGUGCUCAUUACUGACUCUAUCAAUAAUGGAGUGUGCUUGUGAAAUAUAAUACCAAAAAUACUUGAGAGCUUGUGAAAUAUAUUAUCGAUGCAUCUAGAAAACAUAUGAGUUGCUUUGCUAUCAGAAAAAAUAAAAUGAAAAAACGUGUAUGAGUUGACCAGUUAGCGUCUAAAGAAGGCUAACCGUCAAUUUCGGGGAACAAAUUGAUCGCAAACUAUGGAAGACCAGAAAAGAAAAGUAAACUUUGGAAAAUAGGGGAAAGGAAAUUCUUUAUGGACUUUACCAUACCAUGUGUAGUGCGUGUAGUCUGUACGUGUGAAUGAGCUAAUAUGGCUCAAGUCCCACCAUGUUUACAGGAGGGUCGUAAUUGCAAAGAAACAAAACUCCACCCACUAUUACGCUGUACCCUUCCACACCCAAGACAAACCCAAGUGUCCCAAACACACUAAGUUUUGGACUCGUAGUUAUAUAAUUGGGCUUCGGCUCGACCAAGGCUCUCUUGGGCGCUUCUGAAUGUACCAAAUUACAAUUUUCAGCCCAGGCAAAGUCCAUAAACUGAAAUGUCAUUGCCCCAAUUUCCGCGUGUCAUUUAAUAAUUUUCAUGCUUAAAUUGCCAAACAAUGGAAAUAUCAAUUUCUCCUCUUUAAUUUCCGGCUUUUAACCAAAUCCCAAGUUAUUUUCCUCCAUCCAAACGGAGGGUUAAGGAAAAACAAUUCUUGCUACAAGAAUCAUUCUCUCUCUCUCUCUCUCUCUCUCUCUCUCUCUCUCUCCCCCAUUUGUGUACCGUGUCCUAUGAAAGUCAUGAUUUUCGGGGUUUUUAUCACAAAAAGGUACUGGAAAAAUCCGAAAAUUGCUCCUUAAGAAAUAAAAUUUAUUCUUAAAAAAAAAAACCUGAAAUAAAAAAUAAGACCGCAAAUUAACUAAUAGAUGUGGAGGAAAAUGGUUGGUCGGGUUCAGAGUCAGAAAAUUACGAGUAAGGAUCUUGUCCUCACCUCUUAAAAUUACGAGUUAAUAUGGUCAAGUCUCUUUGAGUUUUAGGGAGAGAAGUAUCACUAGCCCAAAAUCAAGAGUUAAUUAGUAUUAAUUAAAGAGAGGUUGAUGACAAUUAAAAAUAAAGAGAAUGAAAUAAAAACUUACAAAAAAUGAAAUAAUUUUUACUUCUUUUUUAUAUAUGUCAUCUCCUCUUAUAAUCAACAGUCACGUAAAAGAAUGUUGGGAGGGUGAGGAGGUAAAUUCGUACACACCCGUUACAUGUAAUCGCCUCUAUCCCCUCUUAUUCUUCUAAUUUCUCAACAACAAAAAUACAAGACCCCCAAACAGGCCUAGUCGAGGUGUGCACGUAUGUUUGUGUGACAUGUAAAUUUAGUGUCUAGUAGGGAUGGUCCUCCUCAUUAUAAGCAGGAUCAUAGUUGCAGAUGACAUAGUUUAGUCCAUUCUUGCACUUUGAAAUGCCACAACCAACUUCGGUGGUUUUGCCCCAAAUCACACCAAGGUAAUGUCCACAUUCGUCUCGGACGCAUUUGUUUAGGUCGUAGUCAUAAAACUCCUUCUCAGUGACCCAAUACUUGGCGGCAGCUGCUCCAGACAUGCCUUCUCCUGAGGCCAAGUUCUCACCAUAAGGCCCCAUUGAGUGCUCCAUGGCGCAGUCAUCAACUCUCUUGUCUGCAUAAUCUUGGGCAUACUUGGCUAGGGUCGCGUUCCAUUUGAGUGGACGGUUGCCGACCUGGGCGCGGGCCUUGUUGUGUUCCUCCACGAAGCCAUCGAUAUCUUCUUUGGAAAGGUCUGCAGAGACAAGAGUGAAGAACAAUGCGACGGAGCAGAUGGCCAGAAGAAGCUUGAUGUUGAACGCCAUUUUGUUUCUCGGUAUGAGAAAGGUCUCGGAUGUUAUUGUAUUAGAGAAUGUUGAAUUGAUAGAGGUUAAUUGAAAGGGCAAAUGAGAUUGUGCAUAUUUAUAUAGUUGAGAGGGUUAAAUAUAGGAUCCUUGAAAAUGGGAGGGUUUCUCAAGUUCUAUAAAUAACCAUGGAGAACAAAUAAGACCUGUGAGAGUGGAUUUUAGAUUCAUAGAAACAGUGUAUUGUCGGACAAUCAAUCUAUACCAUUGAUUAAGUAGGUUUUAUUUUAAUCCUAUAUUACAAUAUAUAAUCAUUACUUAGGUGAGGAUUUUUCGCUGCAAUGACAAACAUUUAGCCUUGCAAUGAGGAUCAAAGUUUUGACUCUCGUCUUCUCUAUCUCAUAAAUAAAGUAGUCGUUACUCCAGAAUGAUAUAAAUGAACUUGUAAUAUGGCCCCUCUGUCAACUUCUUGUGGCUUUUAAAAAUAAAAGGUAAAGCAUUAUGCUUCUUACCAAAAUACAAACAAAUGAAAGAGGAAGCAAAUUAAUUAGACAAAAAGGUCACCUUUCGUUCAUGUAGUUUGAUGAAAUUUUCACUUUUGUUCUUGUAAUUUUAAUUCUAGCAAUUUGACCCAUGUAGUUUGAUAAACACGCGUCUCUUAUGUGGAGGAGUAUUUUGUACCGAAUUUUGGACGAAAUUCACUGGAAAUUUAGAUGGGUCCUUGAAUUGCGAUAGAAUCAAACUACAAAAGUGAAAUGACAAAAUUAAACUACAUGGAUCAAAAUAAAAAAAAAUUCCGACAAAUUACAAGGACCAAAAAUAACUUUUUUUUCCCAAUUAAAUAUGGAUAUAGAGGAAAACGUUUGAAGGGUGUUGCCUCUCUUGGUCUUGCAACAACUUUGGGCUCUCAUAUGCCCGAGUUGCCCCAUAUCAGAUUGGUAUUGUUUGGCCCAUGAAAAACUCUUGCUAGUUUUCUCGGUUUUCAGGCCCAUUGUAGCAAAAAGGAAAUACGUAUGGUUGUUUAGCUUUAUGUUUCUUAGCAAACUAAUGGACAAUUAGUCUUUUAUUAAAAUUACCAGUAGUUUUGGUUGUUGAAUCUCGUGCAAGUUAGGUUGUGGUUGUAUUGGCUGCAAGCGGUGCAAGUUAGGUUGUGGUUGUAUUGGCUGCAAGCGGAACGUAGGCGCUUUAGGUGUGUGUUGACCAUGCACUCUCGCGUCAUGUAAUGUCGUAUGUAUGAUAUUGGUGGUGUGGUAAACCAAUUACUUUUUUGUCUAGUUAUAUUUUUCUUUCCAAUAUUAAAAACAAAAAAAUUCUCAAAUUCGAAUCUUCCCUCACUUAAAGAUUUUAAAAAAAAAAAAAACACAUAGACAUAACUGGAAAAACCAUAGAAAUAAUUAGUGAAAUAUAAUUACAACGAACACAUUCAAAUUUUCAAAAUCUAUAAAGACAUAAGAGAUCCAAGUUCCUACCUAUAAUCACUGCAACCACAAUCUUGACCAAGGGUUUUAAUCCAAAGAAUCUUUGAGAUCUUGAAUAAAGUUAGGUGACAUCUCAACCUUUACGACAAGUGUUCUAUUCUACUUUAUCUCUCCAAUCAUAUGAAGUUCUAAUCUUACUUGAAAUGGUAUAAGAUCAGUCCUUAUCUCUUGGAUUACAGGGGUCCAAGAGAUUUGUGAUCACUUACCGUUGGAUGUAAAUUCAACGAUUCACUCACUCUUGCACUCUUUUGAAGAAACUUUUUUGAACCAUUGCAUUAAUAUCCAAUGGUGGGUGACUACAAUCUCUUGGACUCCUGUGGUCCAAGAAAUCGGGACUCGGUAUAAGAUAUCAUAUAAGAUUUGUUAUAUUUAUAAUGGAAUGGGCUAAAUUUACUUUACGUGAAGGAUGUUGUAUUAGAAAUUUUGGGCUAAGAAAAACCACCACACCUGGGCUAUAGCUCAAGUUAGUCCUUACUAAGGACCAUCCUUGUUUAUUGUACAACCACAAUCAAAUUGGUAUACAAAUCUCAUAUAUACAUAAAGAAACGGUGCAUACAAACAUCAUGAACAAGAAAAUCUUAGGUGGCAUUUGGCAUCCUAUUCAAGUAUGGAAUUCAAAAACUUUUAUUUUUCUUGAAAACAAAGAGUCCUAAAACCCAUUUUUUAAGAUUCAAAAACUUGUUUGGUAUUCAAUGAGGGAACUCAAACUUUAAAAACAAGGAGUUCUGAAAUUCAUGUUUGAAGAUUAAAAAACUUGAUCAGACCAAAAAAAAAAAAAAGAUUAAAAAACUUGUUUGUUAUGCAACUUGAAAACAGUUUCUUUGAAAAAAUUCUAUAAAAUAGAUUUGUUAUAUUUUCAAGUAUUUGGGUGUUUUUGAGUUAUUUUUUAGUUUAGGUUUUCAAAACUAGGUCUCUACCAAACAAAUUUUUUGAGUUUUGGACUUAAAUAAUUUUUCAUUUUUUAUUUUUUGUAAAGUUUCACAAGUUGGAUUCAAAUAGAAUACCAAACAUGCACUUCACAUCCUUUUGAUAUUCCAUUUGUCAAUUAAAGACAAAGGCGAGAUGCAGAGGCAGACGAGAGAGAUUGGCCAAAAAAAAAAAAAAAAAAGAAAGAAAGAAUGAGAAUGACAUAAUAUUUCAGUUAGAAAUUACAGAAAUGAAAUAAUCUUAUUCUUUUUCAUUUUUUGAUUCACUCUUGUCACCUCUCACAAUACCAUAUCAAGUGCUAGUCACGUAAAAAAAUGUUGUGAGUGUGGGGAAGUAUUUGUAUACAUUCGUUACAUUUUAUUUUUCUAAUUUCAGUAAAAGAAAAAAAAAACACAGGACCUCUCAACAGGCCUAAUGUUGGUGUGGUUACGCGCACGUGAGCGUACAUACAUCAUCUAGUGGGGGCGCUCGUCUUCGGGCUGGUACAUGGGAUCGUAGCUGCAAACUACGUAGUUUUGUCCAUUCUUGCACUUUGAAAUGCCACAUCCGACCUUGGUAAUUUUGCCCCAGACCACAGCAAGGUAGUGACCACAUUCGUCUUUGACGCAUUUGUUGGACUUUUCGUCAUAGAACUCCUUCUUGGUGACCCAAUACUUGGUAGCAGCAGCACCGCUCAUGCCGUUGCCAGAGGCCAAGUUCUCACCCCCAACGCCCAAUCAAGGGAUCCAUGGCGCAAUCGUCAACUCUUUUCUCAGCAUAUUCUUGGGCAUACUGGGCUAAGGUCGUGUUCCACUUGAGGGGUUUGUUGCCGACCUCUUUACGAGCCUUGUUGUGCUCCUCGUCGAAGCCAUUGAUCUCUGCUUUGGAAAUGUUUGCAGAGACAACAGUGAAGACCAAUGCGACGCAACGGAUGGCCAAAAGAAGCUUCAUGUUGAACGCUAUUUUUGUUUCUUGAUAUGAGAAGUUUAAGGUUUGUCCUUUAUAUAUAUAUAUAUAUAUAAUUAUUGAAUUAAUAAUUGACACAAAUUAAUGUACUAAUCAUCCAAUUAUAAACUAGGCAUGAGUAAAGAAAAGUAAAUGAAAUGAAACAAAUUAUAUAUGUGAUUUAAGUGAUAUAAUCAUAAACCUAAACUCUUAUUUAUACAUAAUUAUAUAUGUAUCCGGGCCUAAUGGGCUGGGCUAUCGUAGGCUUAAUCGGGCUGGGCUAGGCUUCAGACACCCAAGCCCAAGGCGGGUCGGGCCAUCUCAAAGCCGAUAACGAGUCGGACCGGACUUUUUUUUCGAUGGGCCGGGUGGGACCCUAUCGGCCCAUGAGCCCACAUACCAAAUGAUGAGGCCUAUCUGUGGCUAACACCCUUUGGCCACGAAUUGGCUGUGGUCAAAAUGAUUAUAAGCCACAGGUAAUAUGUGGCUUAUAAGUCCGUUUUCUAGUAGUGACGGUUGUUUAGCCUUAUGUUUCUUACCAAAGUAACGGAUAAUUAGUCCCUUAUUAAAAUUUUGGAUAAACCACUUAGGUUUUUGUCUAGUUGUAUUUUUCUUUCCAAUAUAAGAAGUCUUAAAUUUGAUUCUUCCCUCACUUGAGGACGAAAAAAAAAAAACAUAGACAUAAUUGAUGACAUAUAUUUACAACCAACACAUUCAAAUUUUCAAAAUCUAUAAUGACAUAAAGCAAUCCAAGUUCCUACCUCUAAUCACUGCACCCACAAUCUUGACCAAGUGUUUUAAUCCAAAAAUUCUUUGAGAUCUUGAAUAAAAAGUUCGGUGACAUUUCAACCUUUACCACAAGUGUUCUAUUAUACUUUAGCUUCCAAUCAUAUGAAGUUCUAAUCUGACUUGAAAUGGUAUAAGAUAUCGUACAAGAUUUGUUAUAUUUACUAGCCUCUUGGCACAUGCUCACGCAUGUACCAAUUGGUUUUAUUUUUUAUUUUUUAUUUUAUUUUAUUUUUAAAAAAAACAUGGAUAGUUAUGUUCCACAAAAGUAGGACAUAUUAUAUGAUUUUGUUUUUAAUUUUAAUUUUUUUAAUAUAAAAAUGUGAAUUUACCAGAUUAUCCUCAUUUAAUUAAUAAUUUCAAUUCUUAAUGUUUCAAUUAACUAAGGGUAUUUUCUGGUAUUUUGAAUGUUUCAUCAUUCUCUGCCUUUUGCUUUAUAUAUAUAGAUAAUGAGAUGGACUAAAUUUACCUUACGUGAAUUAUGUGUAAACAAGUAUUAUGUGUAUGCUUCGGUGGGUUGUAUUAUAAAUGUUGGGCUAAGAAAAAAAACCACACAUGGGCUAUAGCCCAAGUUAAUCUUUACUAAGGACCGUCCCUAGUUAUGAUACAACCCACAAUCAAAUUGGUCUACAAAUAUCAGUUCAAAAAAUCUCAUAUAUACAUAAAGAAACGGUGCAUGCAAACACGUGCAUCCAUGAACAAGAAAAUCUUAGGUGGCAAUUGGUAUCUAUUCAAGUAUGAAAUUCAAAAACUUUGAUUUUUCGUAAAAACAAAGAGUUCUAAAAUCAAACUUUUAAGAUUCAAAAACUUGUUUGGUAUUCAAGGAGGGAACUCAAACUUUAAAAACAAGGAGUUCUAAAAUCCAUACUUUAAGAUUAAAAACAAUUUGUCGUAAAAAUUCUUAAAAAACCGAUUUGUUUGGGUUUUAAGUAUUUGUGUGGUUUUGAGUAACUAGGUCUACCAAACAUAUUUUUUGAAUUUUGGACUCAAUUUAUUUUUUUAAAGUUUAAAAAGUUGAAUUCAAAUAAAAUACCAAACAUACACUUAACAUCCUUUCGAUAUCACAUUUGUCGUAUUUUAAAAAAAAAAAAUAAAGACAAAUACGAGAUGGGGAGGCAUUAGACAAUUGAGAUUGAGAAAAAGUAAAAAAAAACAUAAAGAGAAUGAGAUAAUAUUUAGUUAGAAAUUACAAAAAAAGAAAAAAAGGAAAUAAUAUUAUUCUUUUCAUUUUUUAUCCAUUCUCUUGUCACCUCUCACAAUACCAUAUCAAGUAUGGGAGCUCGCAAAAGAAAAAAAAACACGGACCUCUCAACAGGCCUCAUGUAAGUGUGCGUACAUACAUCGUCUAGUAUGGGCGCUCGUCCUCGGGCUGGUACAUGGGAUCGUAGCUGCAAACGAUAUAGUUCUUUCCAUCCUUGCACUUUGAAAUCCCACAUCCGACCUCGGUGGUUUUGCCCCAGAUCACAGCAAGGUAGUGACCACAUUCCUCUUUGACACAUUUGUUGGACUUGGGGUCAUAGAACUCUUUCUCGGUGACCCAAUAUUUAGUGCCAGCUGCGCCGGUCAUGCCGUCGCCCGAGGUCAAGUUCUCACCCCAACGCCCUCUUGAGUGCUCCAUAGCGCAGUCGUCAACUCUUUUGUUGGCAUAUUCUUGGGCAUACUGGGCCAAAGUUGUGUUCCACUUAAGGGGUUUGUUGCCGACCUCUUUACGAGCCUUGUUGUGCUCCUCGAGGAAGCCAUCGAUCUCUGCUUGGGAAAUGUUUGCAGAGACAAGAGUGAAGACCAAUGCGACGCAGUAAAUGGCCAAAAGUAGCUUCGUGUUGAACGCCAUUUUUGUUUCUUGAUAUCAGAAGUUUAAGGUGUUUUCUUUCUAGCAGAGAAGGUUGGAUUGUUAGAUGUUGAUUGAAAUGGGAAAUGAGAUUGUGCAUAUUUAUGUAGUUGGGAGGGUUAAAUAUAGGAUCCUAAAAUGGGAGAGUUUGUUAAGUUCUAUAAACAAGCAUGGAGAACAAAUAAAACUUGUGUGGGAUUGCGUCACCGAGUGGAUUUGGUAUCCAUACAAACAUUGUAUUGUCAAACAAUCAAUCUAUACCAUUGAUUAAGUGAAGUUUUAUUUGAAUCCUAUAAUGAGGUGAGGAUUUUUAGCUGCAAUGACUAAAACAUUUAGCUGUACAUUGAGGAUCAAAGUUUUGACUUUGUUAACGAUAUAAAUGAACUUUGUUAUAUGACCCCUCUGUCAACUUCUUGUGGCUUUUAAAAAUAAAAGGUAAAGCAUUAUGCUUCUUACCAAAAUACAAAGAAAUGAAAGAGGAAGCAAAUUAAUUAGACAAAAAGGUCACCUUUCUUUCAUAUAGUUUGACGAAAUUUUCACUUUUGUUUUUGUAAUUUUAAUUCUAGCAAUUUGAUCCAUGUAGUUUGAUAAACACGCGUCUCUUAUGUGGAGGAGUAUUUUGUAUCGAAUUUUGGACGAAAUUCGCAGAAAAUUUAGAUGGGUCCUUGAAUUGCGAUAGAAUCAAACUACAAAGGUUAAAUUGACAAAAUUAAACUACAUGGACCAAAAAAAAAAAUCUGACAAAUUACACGGACUAAAAAUGACUUUUUUUCCCAAUUAAAUAUGGAUAUAGAGGAAAACGUUUGAAGGGUUUUGCCUCUCUUGAUCUUGCAACCACUUUGGGCUCUCAUCCGCCCGAGUUGCCCCAUAUCAGAUUGGCAUUGUUUGGCCCAUGAAAAACUCUUGCUAGUUUUCUUGGUUUUCAGGCCCAUUGUAGCAAAAAGGAAAUACGUAUGGUUGUUUAGCCUUAUGUUUCUUAGCAAACUAAUGUAUAAUUAGUCUUUUAUUAGAAUUUUGGAUAAACCAAUUACAUUUUUGUCUAGUUAUAUUUUUUUUUCCAAUAUUAAAAACAAAAAAUUCUCAAAUUCGAAUCUUCCCUCACUUAAAGAUUAAAAAAAAUAAACACAUAGACAUAACUGGAAAAACCAUAGACAUAAUUAGUGAAAUAUAAUUACAACGAACACAUUCAAUUUUUCAAAAUCUAUAAAGACAUAAGAGAUCCAAGUUCCUACCUAUAAUCACUGCAACCACAAUCUUGACCAAGGGUUUUAAUCCAAAAAAUCUUUGAGAUCUUGAAUAAAGUUAGGUGACAUCUCAACCUUUACGACAAGUGUUCUAUUCUACUUUAGCUUUCCAAUCAUAUAAAGUUCUAAUCUUACUUGAAAUGGUAUAAGAUAUCAUAUAAGAUUUGUUAUAUUUAUAAUGGAAUGGGCUAAAUUUACUUUACGUGAAGGAUGUUGUAUUAGAAAUUUUGGGCUAAGAAAAACCACCACACCUGUGCUAUAGCCCAAGUUAGUCCUUACUAAGGACCAUCCUUGUUUAUUGUACAACCACAAUCAAAUUGGUAUACAAAUCUCAUAUAUACAUAAAGAAACGGUGCAUGCAAACAUCAUGAACAAGAAAAUUUUAGGUGGCAUUUGGUAUCCUAUUCAAGUAUGGAAUUCAAAAACUUUUAUUUUUCUUGAAAACAAAGAGUCCUAAAACCCAUUUUUUAAGAUUCAAAAACUUGUUUGGUAUUCUAUGAGGGAACUCAAACUUUAAAAACAAGGAGUUCUAUAUUAGUAAGAUCAGUAGCAAACUCGAGGAGGAAGAGGCUGCAUGACACAUAAAUAGAGUAUAAUUAAUUUUUAUUUGUUUAUUGAAUCGAUAAUUUGAUAUUGAUUUGUUUAAUUAAUUGAUAAAUUACCGUCAAUUAGUCAUAGUUAUAGAUAUAAAACCCUUAUUUUGUUUUAAUUAUACAGUUAUACAAUGGUACUUUAAGAGAGAGUUUAAAUCCUCCUUCAAAUAAUUAUACAAUUAUGCAAUUGCUUUAGUUGAGAGAGCUUUGAAUAUUGUGAAAACACCAUUGCCCAACAAAAUAGGGAAUCAAUGGUUGAGUGAUAGUUUGGUUGUUUACAUCGAGAAAGAUGUUUUUUUUUUCCUUAUAUUAGUAACGCAAAUAUAAUGCGACAUUUUCAUGAUAUGAAACCUCGUCAGCAACAAUUGUAGGUUAAUUGUAAUAUUAUUUUUUGUAAUUAAUUAUGAAUAACAUUAGUAUUGUUUAAAUUAUAAGGAUAUUUAGUUGUCUUAGUCUUUAAAAAUUGCACCUCCAUUGAAAAAUUCUUGAGUCUGCCACUGCCCAUCCAAUUAUGCUUCGCCAUGUGGCAUCCUAUUACUCAAGAUGGAACGUAAUUGAUUGAGAAUAACAAAACAGUACUAUCCACGUGGUAUAUAAGUUUUUGUCAGGAAAUCUUUGGUCAAGGAUAGGCAAGUGGGGUUGUAGGAGGCAUGCAUGUGGAAUAUGUAUUGGAAUAUAGUGUGGAAAAUUUUCUUUCAAUAAUUAAUGGUCCUUUUUCCUUGCAUUCAUUUUUCGUCCUUCUGCCUUGAGGGAAAUGGUAGAAAUUGGUUGAAUUGUCAUUGUUGUCCUACAAUUCUUAUAGAGCAUAAUAGACAUUUCAAACUUUUCCUAAAUGGUCUCGGUCAAGAGAUUAUAGUCUUGUUUGUUAGGGAGGACUAGAUUAGACUAGACUAAACUAACAAAAUGUAUAUAUUUCAUGUGCAUUCAAAGCAUAAUAUGGAUAUUUUGCCUAACUUGGAGGAAUAAUGGAGAUUAUCUAUAAGAGGUUGAUUACUAAAACUUAUCCCCCUAAUCCCCUUGAAAAUGGUGGGAUUAUAAGGGAUAAGUUUUAGUCAUCAACCUAUUAUGAAUACUCCUCCUUCAUCCUCCAAGUUGGACAACAAUAUCCAAAUUAUGCAUUGAUUGCACAUAAAAUAUAGAUAUUUUGCUAGUUUAGUCCAAUCUAAUAUAGUGCUUCCUAACAAAUGAGGCUUGUCAUAGAAUAGUACAUAUCUUAACUCCCAAAUAUUUUGUGCAAUGUAAUUGCGUGGGUCGGUAGCAACUAGUUAGCUAGGACUGAGAGGUUUUCCUUGAAUGUUUCAAUUAUAUAUUAUUCUUCAUUAUUGAGUAACUUAAAAUUUCCUAUCAUCAAUUUUAAUUGUAUAUAAUUAUAAAAGGUGAUGUGACGUGAUAAGAGCGAUAGGCAAAAAACUGCAUGUGUCUGCCUAGUUUCUACGAAAUGUUUCUUGCCUCCGUUGUUCAUCAACAGAGAAAUUUCCACAGUAAUUUAUUGUCUUAACCCGGGAAUCCAAAAUUAGAGACGAGUCUACUUCCCUUGACGAGGAAACAUUAAGCGAAAAAUCAAAGUCUGAAGCAUUUCACAAAUAGCAGGACUAACUAGCAGCUAGCAUAUGCAUGCAUAGCUAGUUGCCAAAUUUUAUUCAAAUAUUAAAGUAGCUAGCGUAGUGAGCACCAUGCUAACUUCUAGCUAGUGAACCAUACAAUCAUUCCUUUCAUUUUAUUCUUGAACAGAAAAUAAAAGCUCAAUAGUGGUUUGUUAAAAAGCUUAAUUAAUUUAGUAAGGCCUCUGCCCACGAAUGUUUCCCCGGGGAUCAUAGUUGCACCCAAUAAACGUGCCUCCAUUGGUGCAUCGCGCUUUUGCACACCCUAAACGAACUGAGUUGCGCCAAACCACCUGCGUGUAAUGACCACACAUCUUCCCAGCAGCACAGGUGUUAGAGUUGUAGUCAUAGUCGGGCUUCUCCCCUACGAACAAGUUCACGGCAGCUGUGCCAGACAAGUCACCGGUGCUCUUCGCUAUGUUUUCACCAUAAGGCCCAUUAGAGUGCACUAGAUUGCAAUCACCAGCACGGGAGUUUGCAUAUCUUUGGGCAUAGGCUACUAGGUUGGGGUCCCAGGUCAAGGGAGCAACACCUACCUGGGCUCGAGCGGCGUUGUGGGCAUUGAGGUAGUCUUGUGGUGAGUCUUGGGCACCAGUGGAUUGGAGCAGGGCUAAGCCUAUGAGACAUACGAAGGCAAAGGAAAUCUUAGACAACCCCAUGGUAUUGGUUUGUAGGCUCACAAUGCAAACUAAUAUCUUGAGUGGUUGAUGAAGGAAAUGAGGCAUAUAGCAUGGAGUAUUUAUAAGGAAAGUGUUACGAGGGGACUGUAAUUUUCACUGAGGGCCAACAUUUUAUUUAUGACACAUAUUGAGAGGCCUUACUAGUCAAAGUGAAAGGAAAAUAAACCCCUCCGUGAAUAAGAACUUGAUCCAAGAUUUAGAAUUUAAACCUGACUUGAAAACCUAGAGGAAGAAAAUUUGCUUUGAUUUGGAAAGAGGACCAUCUAACAAAUUUUCUUCUUGUUUGGGUUUUUUAUAUAAAAAAUAUAUAUGUGGUCUCAACUUGUUAGCCUUUGGAUUAUUAUUUACUGUGGUGGCAAGUCUACGAUAAAAAUCAAGCAGAUUAAAGCAGAGAAAAACCAAGCAGAGGAUCCGAAUCUCUAUGUUAUCAUCAAUAAUAAAGAUAUUUGAAUUUGGGACAUCUUUUAAUAUUAAAAAAAAGAUAAAUAGAGAAAACUCUACGAGAGAAAAAAAGUUUCAGCUGUCACCCCUUUUACAGGUCGGUGAUGUAACGACCCGGUCCUAAAUAAAUUGGUAAUUAUUAAUUUAUUCAGAUAAAAUACCAUUUUUGACAGGACCCGACCCAAAUUCCCCUUUGGAAUCCGAGCCGAACCCUGUUCGUGAUCGACACUUGGUGAGUGCCGAGCAUAAAUGACCUGGUUGCCCUUUUGGUUACAAACUUAAUUUCAUUUUAGCCUUGACUUCUAAUGAAAAUUCGGCAGAGUCUUCCCUGUAAUUUGUUCAAUCCCCAAAAUUACAUCUGUCAAGACAAGCAUAUAUAUACAACCCAACUUCCAGCAUGCUUAUAUAUACAAUCAACAAUAAAGUUCGAGCCCAGGGGCAAUAUCAGAGAAUUUAUACAGAUUUAUUUACAAGAAGAACAUUUGGAGGGCCACGGACCCUACACUAAGCUGAAGAGAUGCAGGAAGCGGAAACUGCCCUGUGGUGACUUUCAGAUGCACGUCUACGGCCUGGGGGCGCAAAACCUUUAAAAGGUGAGUGGACCCAAAAACAAAGUUUUAAGAAAAAUAGCAUAAGAACAUACUAACCCCAUUGUAAAAACAGUUAUACAAAACUAAUUCAUUCUUUUAAUCAUAUACAUACUGAAAUCAAUGCACUCAUAUAUAUAUAUAUAUAUAUAUAUAUAAAUAUAUGUCAAGCAUACUCAUAUCAUCUUUAAACUCUUAAAAGCACUGAAAUCAGUUUUAAACUACCACAUAGGAGUACCCUUUUAAUUUUGUCAAUUCUUGAUAUCCGUCACUUCCUGAUAAUUCGUCAAUUCCCCUGGCAGGUCUCGGUGACAUAAAGUCAACUCAAGCCGCAAACUGGCAGGAUUCAGGGGACCGUAGUCAGCCUGAUCCGCAUUCUUGGCUCCCACGGUCCCGGCGUCCCCGAAACUCGUGAGGCAAAUGUCAAGCGCACUGACAAAAUUGAAGGCAAAUUGGAUGUCCGUGGACAUCGUCAUAUCCGAAGGCAACAUAUACCGAAGGCAACCUGGAUGCCCGUGGACAUCGUCUUAUCUGAAGGCAACUUGUUUCUAUAACUGGGUACCUAAGGUGGCUUAAGAAAAUCUAAAAUCUCUGAAACAUAUGAUAAAUAACUGAAUUUCUGUUAAAUCUAAAACUUUACUGGCAUUUAUAUGUUAUUUAGCUAAAAUUUCCUUUUCCUAUAUCCAUAACGGAUAUCUCACUCGGUAGCAUGUGAAUUCAAAACAUUUAAAAGCAUAUAUCAACUAAUAAAACACUAAUCUUUGCAUAAAACUUAUUUAAGAUCAAAUACUGUAGCUGAAUAGCAUAAAUUCAUUUAUGAAAACAAAGAGUCCACUCACAGCUGGUCCGAGUUCGCUGGACCUUUUGGAGGUCCCUCAUGUGGGUCAACUGGUGCCCGGGUGCCUGAUUCAAGUACCAUAAUAAUAUAUAUUAAUAAAACUGCUCGAUAUAAAUAUUUAAAUAAAACCCUGACCCCCAACUCCUAGAAGUGCGUGCAUCCAAUUAAAGUUACUCCUAUGCCCACAUUAACGUUCCCUUAAACCUAGGAUACAAGUCCCAUGAGUCUGGUCUCAAUCGGACGGUUAGUUUGGUCACAAACGCACGAACAAAGGCUCGAACCCAUUGAACCAGCACAAGAUGCAAAAUCCGUUCAGGGUUCAAACGUUAUCCAAAUUAAGAUCCGCGAAUUCCUACACGCUCUUGACAACACAAGGACCAUUCUAGGACUAAGUGUGGUCCCCACCAAAUGGAGGAGAGAAGGUGAUGGGUUAAAAAAAAAACAGGGAGGGGCUGUGGUCGCGAGGAAGAAGAGUGAGGGGAGAGAGAGAGAGUCAGUUUUUAAAAAAAAUCCUAAUUUCAAAAUUAUCAUUUUGCCCUUCUAUGUAUUUUGACUGUAUUUUCUUUGUUACAACUCCGAUUCAAGUCCACUCCGUGUCUACGGACUCGCUUCGUCGCGCUCUACGCACGAGGCAUGUGGAAUAGUCAAAUUCUUUCUCGGUCAAAAAGUCAACUUUUUCUUUACUAGAAUAUUCUAAGGGCAAACGUGUCAUUUCCUUUUAAUAGUUUAAUAGUUAAAUAUUAAUUAAGGUUUGGGUUAUUACAAUUUUGCCCCUAGAAUAUUUUAUUAGGUUUAAAGUUGACUUUUUGAUCGGGAAUGAAUUUGAAAAUUUCAACUGUACCGUUGCGUAGAGCAUGGCAAGAUGAGUCCGUAGACACGUAGUGAGCUUGAAUCGGAGCUGUGACGAAGAAGUGACAAGCAAAACAUCACCAAUGGUACAAUCGUAAAUAUUGAGAAAAAGGUUUGAUAAAAUUUGAUUUUUUCUCUCUCUCGGCGCAGUCUCUCUCCUCUCUCUCGCGACGGUAGUGCCAACCGGCAACAUUUUGGCUAGCCGUCCUCUCGUUCGGCCACCAAAGCUGACGGGGCCGGUACCAAAAUGACCUGGCCACCGUCCUCUUCCAACCCCAGUCCUUCACCGCCUCGGUCUGCCUCCGUUAGUUGGGUUAAGUGAUUAAGUGAGAUUAUGAGAUUAAUUUAUUGUUUGAAACUGGGGAACAGCGGAUGUUUUAUGGUUGUUUGAAGUUUAUGCAAUAUUAGAAUUUGGAAUAUAUGAUUAUUAAGAAGUGAGUGGACAUUUAUUUUAAUAUGCACUAUUUUCAAUGAUUGAAAGAAUAUGCAUGGAUUUGGUAUAUAUAUAUAUAUAUAUAUAUAUAUAUAUAUAUAUAUUUGGAAUAAGGAUUGGGAAAUUUAUAAGUUUCGAUAUGAGUAAUAUGAAAUUGAGAAUUGAAUUUUGAUGUGGGAAGUUAUAUGAUUAUAUUAUGUAUAAGUACAUACUUCCUAUACGUGGCGUUGAAAUUUCCGGCGUAUAGGAAGAAUGUAUGAUUAUGUAAGUCUCACAAGUGACGUUGGAUUUUUCAGUGUGUGAGACACUUCCUAUACGUGGCGUUGGAAUUUCUGGCGUAUGGGAAGAAUGUAUGAUUAUUUAAGUCUUACACGUGGCGUUGGAUUUCCCAAUUUGUGAGACACUUCUCAUACGUGGCGUUGGAUUUUCCGAUGUAUGGGAAGGAUAUGUGAUUUAAUGGUCUCACACGUGGCGUUGAAUUUUCCGGCGUGUGAAACACUUCCCAUACCUGGCGUUGAAUUUUCCGACGUAUGGGAAGGAUAUGUGAUUUGAUGGUCUCAUACGUAGCGUUAUAUUUUUCGGCGUGUGGGACACUUCCCAUACGUGGCGUUGGAUUUUUCGACGUAUGAGAAGGAUAUGUGAUUUGAUGGUCUCACACGUGGCGUUGGAUUUUAUGGCGUGUGAGACACUUCCCAUACGUGGCGUUGGAUUUUCCGACGUAUGGGAAUGAUAUGUGAUUUGAUGGUCUCACACGUAGCGUUGAAUUUUUCGGCGUGUGAAACACUUCCCAUAUGUGACGUUGGAUUUUCCUGCGUAUGGGAAGGAUAUGUGAUUUGAUGGUCUCACAAGUGGCGUUGGAUUUUCCGGCGUGUGAGACACUUCCCAUACGUUGCGUUGGAUUUUUCGGGGUGUGAGACACUUCCCAUACGUAGCGUUAGAUUCUCCGGCUUAUGGGAAGAAUAUGUGAUUAUUAGGUCUCACACAUGGCAUUGAAUUUUCCGGCGUAUUGGAAGAAUAUGUGAUUAUGUAGUCUCACACGUGGCGUUGAAAUUUCCUGCGUGUGAGACACUUCCCAUACGUGGCGUUGGAUUUUCCGGCGUAUAUGAAUAAUAUAUGACUAACAGGUCUCACACGUGGCGUUGGAAUAUUCCGGCGUAUGAGACAUUAUGAUUAUGUUAUUAGCUCAUCACACGUGGCGUUGGAAUAUUCAGCGUGUGAUAGAAUAAUAGGGAGAAGAAAAAGGGAUUAUUUUACUAUAUCGAGGAAAGAGUGAUGCUUAAAAGAAUUAUGUUUGGUGUGUUGUGAUUUAAAUUAAAAAGGGAAAGGAGUAAAUUCUAGAAUGUAUUAUUUUUGUGUUGCUGUAAUGGUUUGUACGUUAUCGGAAUCGGGAUUUUGUGGAAAGAACUACGUGUGGCUUGAUCCCUCAGUAAGAGUACGUAGGUAGCCUGGGGUCCCACUCAGGUGCAGCCGCAGACUAAAUUUUAUUUAUGUUGUUUUAUGGAGAUUGGUUCUGACCUGGUCGUUGGUCCUGAAAUUCGGUUGAAAACGAGAUGCGAUUAAAUAAUUGUUCAUACUCCCGUCUGGCUGAGGGAGGAUUGUGUAAAUGUGUUCUGGUCAAAACAGGCACAAAGCUUGUUUUGGAUUGAUGUACGAUUUGGGCUAAAACCUUAAACUAUUUGCGAUUGCGUUAAGAGGUUAAAACCUCGCAUAUUGGAUAGUUGGGAAAGUUAGAUGAUGUAAAUUUCAUUUGGCAUUCAUAAGUGUGUUUGAGUUUAUUAUUUGCCUUGUUUAAGGUAUGAUUUGGCUUAAGGACUUUGUUGGUAGUUUGGUUUCGGAUCAUUUGAGGGCCGGAUGCCGAUUUUGUGAAUUGCAUGAAAUUAUCUUGUGCAUGCUGCCGGUUGGUGAUAUUAAAUGUGUUUUAUGCAGGUUGAAAUUUUUGGGAAUUGUUCAAUUUACAGGGGAGACUCUGCCAAAAUUUUGGUAGAAAGUCUCGGUCUGUAAUAAGUGGGCCCGACGUCGAUGUGAUGUUGGAAUUUCCACAGGACUCAUCUCGGGUUUCAAGGAAUUCGGGGUGGGUCCUGUCAGGUGACCUCCAUCCCUCUCCUCCUCCCCUUCCUUCCCCUCUUUACGUACCCUCCCAGACAUGUCCCUCCCUUAUCCACCUCUACCCAUCCCCUCCAGGGCCUCCAUCUUAGUUGAGUGUGGUGGCCGCAGAAAAACUUAGUUGAUAAUGUGAUGUGGUAUUGACUUGUUAACUAAAAGUAUUUGAGCCAUAAUAACUAAUUUAUUGGUGUGUAAUAUAUAUAAAUUCUAUUAGAGUGCUACUAUUUCCAUCCACUUAUCCUAUUUUUCUAUCAAUCUUAUCUUCUCACUCAUCAUGUAAAUUUGAAAAAGCACAAUCCUAUUUUUCCACCCAACAUUAUUUCUAAAAUACCCUUUAUAAAUCACCUUAUGUGGUAUGCCAACUCAUCUAAUACAACUAAGUUUUUUUAAUUGUUUUAUUAUUAUAUCCUAAUUAAAGCAAUAAUUACCAAAAAGUCUUUCAAUCCCCCUUUUUCUUCUUCCUCCUCCCCCACACUCUUCCCACAAAAUUUCCAUUAUCGCCAGAUUUCUCACGGGCGCCGCUAAACCCAUCUCGCUCACUCAUUCUUCCAUGACAGUUCCCUUUCUUCACCAUGGCAGUUGUAUCGGAUUUCUCACUGCAACUGCAUCAUUGUUCAUGCCUCUCUCAUCUUCUAUAUUUUCUAGAUCUAUAUAUAAAGAUAAUUGGUUUAGAUAAUUACAUUGUUCUGGGUGUUUGGGAUACAAUAACUAAUAAUUAUAAAACCUAUCAUGAACCGAUUUGUUUUAAGACUUCAACUAAGAAAGUUAUUGAGAUAUUUGUUGUGGUGAUGAAAGAAAAGAUUUUUUCAGAUUUGCAGGAAGAGUUUAGUUGAAUUUUUUGGAUGGUCUAAAGAGGAUAUAAGGUUUCUAUAGGAGUAGCCUUUUGAAUUAUCUAGCCACUCCCCAUCUGAUUAUGCUUCGCCAUGUGAAAUCCUAUUACUCAGGACGAAACGUAAUUGAUUGAGAAUAAUAAAACAGUGCUAUCCACGUGGUAUUGACAAGCAAGUGGGGUUGUAGGAGGCAUGCAUGUGGAGUAUGUAUUGGAAUAUAGUGUGGAAAAUAAUUUUCUUUCAAUAAUUAAUUGUCCCUUUUCCUUGCAUUCAUUUUUCGUCCUUCUGCCCUGAGGGAAAGGGUAUAAAUUGGUUGAAUUGUCAUUGUAGUCCUACAAUUCUUAUAGAGCGUAAUAGACAUUUCAAACUUUUCCUAAAUGGUCUCGGUCAAGAGAUUAUAGGGUUGUUUGUUAGGGAGGACUAGAUUAGACUAGACUAAACUAACAAAAUGACUAUAUUUCAUGUGCAUUCAAAGCAUAAUAUGAAUAUUUUGCCUAACUUGGAGGAAUAAUAGGGACUAUCUAUAAGAGGUUGAUUACUAAAACUUAUCCCCCUAUCCACCUCUACCCAUCCCCUCCUCCAGGCCCUCCAUCUUAGCUGAGUGUGGUGGCCGCAGAAAAACUUGGUUGAUAAUUUGAUGUGGCAUUGACGUGUUAACUAAAAGUAUUUGAGCCAUAAUAACUAAUUUAUUGGUGCGUAAUAUUCAUCAGUUGUAUUAUGUUGUUUCUUUCUGUAAACAUCGAAAUUUCAACAUCUAGAAAGCUAGGAAAUAAUCAAGUCGCCAAGACAUCCCCCUUGACAUUUAUUGGAUUGCCAAACUUUUACUAGUAUUACUACAUUAAAAUUUGCAUAGCGCUUUCACUUUACUUCCAAGAAAGGGAAGAGAAAAGAAAAUAAGAAAUGAAAAACAAAAAACAAGUCAAAAUAUGCAUGAAUGCUCGAUCGCAUGAUUCUCCGAUCUAUGAAUUCUUUUCUAUUUUGCUUUUUAUGAUUUAGGUUUAAUCAGAAGACCAAAAAUAAAAAUACUAAUGGCCAGGAUCCCUUCAGGCACACACUGUGAUCAAUUAAGCCUAUUAGUAAGGCUUCACCCCAACAGAGUUGCCUGCAGGAUCAUAGUGGCAAACGACAUAGGAACCUCCAUAGGCGCACUGGACUUUGGCACACCCAACAAGCCCUGUGUCACGCCAAACGACCUGCGUAUAAUGGCCACACUGCUUCCCAGGGGCGCAGGUGUUGGUCUUGUAAUCAUAAUCGGCCUUCUCCGCCACCCAUUGGUCCACAGCCAAUUUCGCCGUCAAGUCUCCGUCAGGGCUCAUUGCAAGGUUUUCACCAGGGCCUGAAUUCGAGUGCACGAGGUCGCAGUCGCCGGCACGUUGGUUAGCAUAGUUUUUCGCAGAAUCUGCUAGGCCUUCAUCCCAGUCCAAGGUGUCGAGGCCAACCGCCGCUCGCGCCGCGUUGUGGGCUUUCACGUAGUCAUCUGGGGCGUUUUGGGCACGGGCUAACCCUAUUAGGCAAAUUAAAAGUAGGGCUAAUGAGAUCUUGUUCUUGCACAACCCUUCCAUAAUGUUAAUUAGUGGUUAAUUGUAAUAAUCUACAGAUUGUUCUGCUAAAGAGUUUCUUGUUGGAUAUGGAUUGGAAAAUACCUCAUUAUAUAUGUUGGAGAAAAUUAUAUAUGUUGUUAUUUUUGUGGAUGUGAAAAUUAAUUUUGUUUGCAUCAUGUGUAACCAAGGAAGAGCCCUAUAAGUUGCCGAAAUACCCGCACCUUGCAGAACCUAAAAUAGCUAGGCUCCUUUUAAUUGAGGAGGAGCUCCUACUCAAAACAAAUAGAAUUUUGACACUUGACAAAUUCCUUUAACCUUAUUUUUUUGUUUGAACUUGAACAAGUCUCAAACUUUUCCUUGGCCUAAACUUUUGUCAUUUCUAAUUUAAUCAGGGCUGAUGAGAUCUUGUUUUUUUUUAAAUUUAUAAUUAUUUAUAAUUUUUUUUUAGUAUAGGGGAUGAGGGUUGCUCACACACACAUACACAUAAAACUAAGAUGACAUGGGGGUUCGAACCUGAGACCUCUGGUUUGUAAGUGAAAGUCCUUUUCCACUAGGCUAGACUCCGUUAACGAUGAGAUCUUGUUCUUGGGGUGACGGAGACAUUUGUUGAUGGAAAAAUAUUGAGAUGUACGUCUAGUGGUUGGAUCAUUUAGUUAAAUUAGUUUUGUUUGCAUAUGUGUAACAAUGUAAGUGUAACCAAAGAAGAACCCUAUAAGUCGCCAAAACACCCGCCCCUUAAGAACUAAAAUCUUUUGUGCCAUUUGUAUCACCACCAUAAAUAUCAAGAAACUGAAAUUGUUAUUAAUCAGCACCAAAAAAAAAGAAAAAAAAAAAAGACUCCAACUAGUUAAACAAUUGUGUCAAUUUGGUCAAAUAUAGAGACAUUAUUACAGUUACAAAGAACCAUCAUAUUGGCUAUGGAGUAAAAUUGCGGAAAUACGCUCACCUUUCACGAAAAUAAAUGGGAGCCACAAAAUGAACCAUCAUGUCCUGGAAGAAGAUUAGCGACGUUUGUUAUUCCUUUUGUCGGCGUUUGUUAAAUUUUUCGUCUUGAUCUUUUUUGGUCAAUAAAGUCAAGAAACUCUGUGAGUUUUUUUGUGUUUUUUCUUCUCAUAAUUCAAGAAACUUUAUUGAGUUUGUUGGGUGUUCUUAGGGGGGUGUAUUCAAUUAGGAUUCUAGAGCGUUGAAAAAGAUUUUAAAAAUCCGGGUGUAUUCAAUUUGGAUUUAUACAAACUUUUAAAAAGUCUAUAACAGUUUGAGUGUAUUCAAUCUAGACUUGGUUGAACUUAUAAAAUGUCCAUCUAAAUGUGGGUGUAUUCAAUUAGGACUUGGAAAAAGUCUAAAUAAAUUUACCUGUAUUCAAAAGGAGAUAGAUUUGGAAGGAUUUAAUUAAGUGUUGGAGUUUGGAGAAUUUGUAGGUUUUAGGUAUAAAUAAUAAAGGCCAACAUAAGUCUAACCUCCACCCGAAAGAUUUCAUAUGACUUUUUUAUAUAUAUAUUUUUCUCCCUGUGUUAGAAAAUUUUCCAUCGUUUGGAAAACAAUGCACUAAGCCAUGCACUGACCUUGGGUGGUUACAAGCGUCCUGUGUUAAGCAAAGCUCCUCCAUUAGUGAUUUCUUCAAAUCAACCAGUUCGAGUUAUUGGGAGGAAAGCUCGGCUAGAGAUUUUUCGAUCUCCGAUAAGUUCCCCUUGGAUAUCUCUCGGCAUGAAGCCAACAUCAAGGCGGUGGAAGGUUGAGAUAUAUUUCCAUCACCAUAACAUUACUAGAUGAUAGGGCCCUUGCUUUUUGGAUAAAGGGUUGUUUUUUGUUUUGUUUUUUUUAAAUUGAAUUUUUGGACAAAGAGUUUGCUGUUCGUGAACAAAAUCAAAGGGAAAUUUCCAACUAGUGGAAAUAUCGAAGGGAAAUUCAAUUUGAAAUUCAUUGUUUAGGUAUGAAAGUUUCCAACUUGUGGAAAUUUCAAAGGGAAAUUCACUGUUUAGGUAUGAAAGUUUUCAACUCAUGGAAAUUUCAAAGGAAAAUUCAUUGUUGUGCACACAAGUAGAGGAAGAAUUUGGAAAUAAAAAAAAAACAAAAAACAAAAAGGGGAUGGUCGACUAGUGGCUAGGUCAAGAUAGUUUAAAGAAAAUAGUGUUGGGAAGAAAGAGUGAUAAAAGAAAAUAGUAUUGGGAAGUCUAUGCAAAUAUAUCUGAAUUUAUAACAAAAGUUUAUACAAAAGUAUGGAAGUCUAUAAUAAAAGCCUAUAUAAGUUCAUUAAAAAUCCGGGUAAAACAAUAGGAGUUAUACAAUUCCAGGAAAUCUGUCACUUAAAAAAAAUCUUUCACAAUCGUAUACAAUCCUAAUUGAAUACAACCCCCUUAGUCUCUUUAGAAGAGUCAUGCCAGUUCGUGGCUAAUUUUGUCCUUGAUAUCAUUGAAUUAUAUUUGGGAAAUUAUGGCGGUAGAAAUGGGUAUGGAAAAGUUAUUUUCGAGAGUGAUUCUCUCCAGAUCCUUUUCAGCUUUUUUACUGGCUCAAGUCACUAGGGAAGUUUUUACCUAUGUCUGUCAUAUUGCUAAUGGGAUGGCUCCCUUUAUUGUUUAUAUCCUUUGUACUCUUUUUUCACUGUAUCGUCUUUUUAUAAAUUAAAAAUAAAUAAAAUAAAAGGGAGCCACACAAAAUAGUUGGACAUUCCAACAAAAUGCGCAAUACGUUCUUUUGACUGAUGCAAUUUGUUUUGCAAGAGAUUGUUGCUCAACUGAUUAAGAAUAUUUACCCUUGAAUCCUAUGUCCAAGGCUCGAUUCCCCUUAGGGCCCAUUUGGUUCAUGGGAAAGGAGGUUUGGGAAUGAGAAUUCAAUUGUUUUCCCAUAUUUGGUAAGUCCACGCAUGGGAAAUAGUUGCCUGGCACAUGGGAAAGUAGGGGGGAAAGUGAAGCCCUCCUCUUAACUUAAGUUUUGUUUUCCUUCAUCAUGGGAAAGUUUGGAAAAAUAAGCCAACAUUCAAUGCACAAUUUUCAUGAGUAUUUUGUCCAUGAACAAUUUAGAAUUACAAUGUAUCAUUAAAUGCUUUCUUUUUUUAUUUGAUUUAAUAUGGGUAUAAUUGGAAAAUUAUACAAAAUUUGUUUUCCAUUCCUACUUAAAACAAACAUGGGAAAGGAAACAAACGGGACCUUAUCUUAAAAAAGAAAAAAAAAAGAAAAAAAAAAAGAGAGACAACUUUGGACGCAGCAUGCAUAUGUCUCCAGUUUCCAAAAUAAUAAAAAGUCAUUCUUCAUAUCCAUAAAGUUUAGCAUCCACCAUGCAGGUGAAUAAGAUACAAUAGAAUUGAUGAUCUAACAUCACUUCUUAAUUCAUUUUAUUCUUGAUAAUAUAGCUUCAUAGAUAUAGUUGGUUUAGUAAGGCUUCUCCCCAACAUAGUUGCCUGGCGGAUCAUAGUUGCACCCGAUGAAGGUACCUCCACUGUUGCACCUCACUUUUGCACACCCUACACGAGCUGUGUUACGCCAAACAACCUGCGUAUAAUGCCCACACAUCUUGCCAUCGGCACAAGUGUUAGAGUCGUAGUUAUAGUCGGCCUUCUCCGCCACCCACAUGUUCACGGCAUCCGUGCCCGACAAGUCAGCGGUGCUCAUGGCAAGGUUUUCGCCGUAGGGCCCACCAGAGUGGACAAGAUUGCAGUCGCCAAUGUGUUGAUUGGCAUAGUCUUGCGCAUAGCCCUGUAGCUUCUCAUCCCAUGACAAUGGCCCGACGUUUACCGCCGCUCGAGCGUUGUUAUGGGCAGUGACGUAGUCUUGUGGUGUGUCUUGGGCAUGAGUGGAUUGGAGAAGGGCAGAGCCUAAAACACAAACGAGGGCUAGUAAAAUCUUGGACAGCCCCAUGUUGGGUUUUGAGAGUUUGAUAAUGUAUGAAGGAGUUUUUUGUUGCGAGAACGAUGCAUAUGGUGUGGGGUAUUUAUAAUGGAAAAUGUGGAAAUUUAUAUGCGUUACCAUGCAAGAGCGUUCCUAAUACGUUACUGACUCUAUCAAUAAUGGAGUGUGCUUGUGCAAUAUAAUAUCAAAAUACUUGAGAGCUUGUAAAAUAUAUUAUCGAUGCAUCUAGAAAACAUAUGAGUUGCUUUGCCAUCAGAAAAUAAAAAAUAAAAAAACGUAUGAGUUGAUCAGUUAGCUAGGUCUAACUAAGGCUAACCGUCAAUUUCGGGGAAUAAAUUGAUGGCAAACUUUGGAAGACAAGAAAAGAAAAGUAAAUUUUGGAAAAUAGGGGAAAGGAAUAUGAAGUAUAUACCAUACCAUGAUUGCUUUGGAAAAUCCUUUAUGGACUUUACCAUACAAUGUGUAGUGCGUGUACUUGUACGGGUCUUGAAAAAGAAAGAGAUAUUUAGUCAUAUAUCCAUUCUUAGCACUAAAAUUAUAAAUAAAUUAUACAUCAUUUAAUUUCUAUAAACAAACCCAACAAAAACCCAAAAAAUGACAGCCGACUCUAUUGAAUUUAAUUUUAAUUAUUAAAUUACUUUGAUGCCCUAUUGAGUGUUUUGGGCUUUUUUAUGAGGUUUUGGGGUUGGGUUCAUUUUAAGAAAUCAAUUACAGUUUUGUAAUUCAAAAGAAGUUAAAAGCAUUUUUGUUAUGUUGUAAAUCGGCUUUGGGUGUGUUUCUAAACUCCAUUUCAUAUAUGAUUUUUUUUUAAUGUAAAUAAUUUGGGCUCUUAUAUUGGGUAUAAUAGUGAAUCUCCCAAAAGGAAAAGUGAAGUCAAUAUAACUGUUGAGGCCCAAAAAAUCUAAGGAGAUUCACUAUUAUACCUAAGGGCCUUCAUGACUCUACUCUCUAGGAUAAUGAGGUAUUGUCAUCUUCUCAAUACGAAGGCAAAUGAAUGAAAAUUGGAGAAAAGAGACUUGAGCAAAUUAUGUUGUGAUAUUGGAGCAUGAGAUUGAUAGGUACAUCACCGACCCUAUUGAAGAUGUGGUUGACUUAUUCGAUGUUUUAAAGUGGUGGAAAUUGUAUGAGGUUAAGUAUCCGGGUUUGGCACUUAUUGCAAAGGAUGUGCUUGCCAUCCCAGUAUCAACGGUGGCUUCAGAAUCAUGUUUUAGCACGGGUGGUUGGAUAGUUAAUUCAUUUCGUGCUUCUUUGACUCCUAAGAUUGUGGAAGCCUUAAUUUGCUCUCAAAAUUGGUUAAGGUAAGAUGACAUAUCCUCUUUAUAAUAUGAGCCAACAAUUCAAGAGAUGAAGUUGAAUUAGGUAUUUCUUUGUAAUUUUAUAUGCUUUAUUAGUGUAUUUUACAAUUUGUAGGUUUCACUAAUGUUUUAAUGGGUUUUUUUAAUUUUAUAUAGAUUUAUGAGUUCAUCCACACCUCCGAAGUCUGCCCCAGCUACUUUUUAAUGUUAGGAGGAAUUUAAUGAAGUUGCAACACUUAGGACUACAUGCUUUUGUGGAGUUUUUGCAUGCUUGUAUUUUGUUUAUAUUUUGCUGCAGUGGGAUUGUAAUUUAUUUUGAUGAAUUUGGAUUGUAAUUUAUUUUUUGCUAAAGUUGGAAUAUAAUUUAUAUUUGUUGAAGUUGGAUUGAUUUUGAUGUGUUAAAAGCUUGGUGGAAGUUUAAAUUUGAGCUUGGCCUAUUUGAUAAUGAACAAAUUGGUAGGUUUGUAGUAUAAUUAAAUUUUGGGCAGGUCUGUAAUAUAAUACAAUUUUGGGCAGAUCUGUAAUGAAAUAAAAUUAUAUAUUACAAUUUUGGGCUCAGGCCAAAAAUCAAAAAUCGCAAGAACCAAACUGGAAUUGGGCAGGUCUGGGUUGGUUCGGUCUUGCCUAUAAAUUUUUGUCAAAACCAGACAAAACCGAAUUGGUCUUCAUUUUCAAUUCAAGUUUUAAUUUUAUAAGAAAUCGGCCUGAGCCGGACCAUACUCACCCUUAAUAUCCAUUAAGUUUAGCAUCCACCAUGCCGGUGAAUAAGAUCAAUGAAUUGAUGAUCUAACAUCACUUCUUAAUUCAUUUUGUUCUUGAUAACAUAGCUUCAUAGAUAUAGUUGGUUUGUUUUUUUAGACGAAUAAAUAUAGUUGGUUUAGUAAGACUUCUACUCAACAUUAUUGCCAAUGGUGAAUAUUAUUGGCGCAUCCAUGCACCUGGCACAUGGUAGAAUUUUUGCAUAGGAGUUGUAAGGCUCGUAAGGCUUCUCCCCAACAUAGUUGCCUGGCGGAUCAUAGUUGCACCCGAUGAAGGUACCUCCACUGUUGCACCUCACUUUUGCACACCCUACACGAGCUGUGUUACGCCAAACAACCUGCGUAUAAUGCCCACACACCUUGUCAUCGGCACAAGUGUUAGAGUCGUAGUUAUAGUCGGCCUUCUCCGCCACCCACAUGUUCACGGCAUCCGUGCCCGACAAGUCAGCGGUGCUCAUGGCAAG
rnacentral:lncRNA from 1 species